AAUUCGCCCUUAGAGUUUGAUCAUGGCUCAGAGUGAACGCUGGCGGCGUGCCUAACACAUGCAAGUCGAACGGUAACAGGAGAAAGCUUGCUUUCUUGCUGACGAGUGGCGCACGGGUGAGUAAAGUAUAGCUAACGUGCCCGUAAGAGGGGGAUAGCCACUGGAGACGGUGAUUAAUACCCCAUACUCCUUCUUAACACAAGUUAAGUUGGGAAACGGAUUUCCGCUUACGGAUCGGGCUAUAUCGUAUCAGGUAGUUGGUGGGGUAACGGCCUACCAAGCCAAUGACGCGUAGCUGGUUUGAGAGGAUGAUCAGCCACACUGGUACUGAGACACGGACCAGACUCCUACGGGAGGCAGCAGUGAGGAAUAUUGCACAAUGGAGGAAACUCUGAUGCAGCAACGCCGCGUGGAGGAUGACGCAUUUCGGUGUGUAAACUCCUUUUAUCAGGGAAGAAGAUGACGGUA
rnacentral:rRNA from 1 species